NNNGUGCAACACGAGGACUUCCCAGGUGGUCACCCAUCCUAGUACUACUCUCGCCCAAGCACGCUUCACUGCGGAGUUCUGAUGGGAUCCGGUGCAUUAGUGCUGGUAUGAUCGCACCC
rnacentral:rRNA from 1 species